CCUUAGAUGUUCUGGGCCGCACGCGCGCUACACUGAUCAAGUCAACGAGUUUACAACCUUGGCCGGAAGGUCUGGGUAAUCUUUUGAAACUUGAUCGUGCUGGGGAUAGUCCAUUGCAAUUAUUGGACUUCAACGAGGAAUUCCUAGUAAGCGUGAGUCAUCAGCUCGCGUUGAUUACGUCCCUGCCCUUUGUACACACCGCCCGUCGCUACUACCGAUUGAAUGGCUUAGUGAGGCUUUCGGAUUGGACUUUGGCAGCUGGCAACAGCAGCUAGGGACUGAAAAGUCAUCCAAACUUGGUCAUUUAGAGGAAGUAAAAGUCGUAACAAGGUU
rnacentral:rRNA from 1 species